CAACUAUGAGCGCCCAGACUGCCGGCCCCGAGCUGAGCCACGUCUGUCCCUGAGGACGAUGGUUUCCACACUCGAGUGGGGCUCCAGUGUGGGAACAGACCCCGGUGUGAGGCUGGGGGGACACUGGCGUGGCCUUUGAGAAGGAGCUGCGCUGCUGGGUGCCCGUGUGCAGGUUACGAGCGCUCCCACCCGAGAGCUGGCCGAGCACCAGGGCAGGGUCACUGCACAGGCACGAGCAGCCUGUCUCCCUCUAUCGAGUCACGUGGAGAAAAAGAUGAUACACUCCAUGGCAUAGCUGACAGUGUCGAAUCGAUCAUGACAACAGUAGUUGGUUAACAGUGUUUCUUCCAAGGAGACAUAUAUUUUUAAUAAACAGAGAGUUGCAAAGAA